AUUGAACGCUGGCGGCAGGCCUAACACAUGCAAGUCGAGCGGAUGAAGGGAGCUUGCUCCUGGAUUCAGCGGCGGACGGGUGAGUAAUGCCUAGGAAUCUGCCUGGUAGUGGGGGAUAACGUCCGGAAACGGGCGCUAAUACCGCAUACGUCCUGAGGGAGAAAGUGGGGGAUCUUCGGACCUCUCGCUAUCAGAUGAGCCUAGGUCGGAGUAGCUAGUCGGUGGGGUAAAGGCCUACCAAGGCGACGAUCCGUAACUGGUCUGAGAGGAUGAUCAGUCACACUGGAACUGAGACACGGUCCAGACUCCUACGGGAGGCAGCAGUGGGGAAUCUUGGACAAUGGGCGAAAGCCUGAUCCAGCCAUGCCGCGUGUGUGAAGAAGGUCUUCGGAUUGUAAAGCACUUUAAGUUGGGAGGAAGGGCAGUAAGUUAAUACCUUGCUGUUUUGACGUUACCAACAGAAUAAGCACCGGCUAACUUCGUG
rnacentral:rRNA from 1 species